rnacentral:rRNA from 1 species
UACGUAGGGGGCAAGCGUUGUCCGGAUUCAUUGGGCGUAAAGAGCGUGUAGGCGGCCAGGUAGGUCGGUUGUGAAAACUGGAGGCUCAACCUUCAGACGUCGACCGAAACCAUCUGGCUAGAGUCCGGGAGAGGAGAGUGGAAUUCCUGGUGUAGCGGUGAAAUGCGCAGAUAUCAGGAGGAACACCAGUGGCGAAGGCGACUUCCUGGCCUGUUCUUGACGCUGAGGCGCGAAAGCUAGGGGAGCAAACGGG